rnacentral:lncRNA from 1 species
UUUUUUUUGUUUUCUGCAACGUUCCCCAACACUUCUGCCAAUGUGGAUAUCUCUGUUUGGACUCUAUGAGCACCUCGCUAAUAUAAUAAACCGGCCGUUGAAACAGAUACUCUUUGCCGGCCUCCUUGCGCUCUACCACAAUAGCUACACUAAUAGCUCGGGUAUUAGUAGCCACGUAUAGCAGUAAGGCUUCUUUAUCGAUCGGAGCCGCAAGUACAGGUGGCUUGGCUAAUUGUCUUUUUAAGUCCUCAAACGCUUUAUCAGCAGCAUCACUCCAAACGAAGUCAUCUAUCUUCUUUAGCAUCUAAUACAAAGGGAUAGCCUUCUCCCCAAGGCGACUGAUAAACCGGCUUAGGGCUGCAAUCCGGCCUGCCAAAUGCUGGACAUCGUUGAUACACGCCGGCUUAGGCAGGGAUGUGAUAGAUGUAUCUUCUCCGGAUUAGCUUCAAUGCCCUUGUUAGACACCAGAAAAUCCAAGAGCUUGCCUACCGGUACACCAAAGACACAUUUGGCCGGAUUAAGUAUCAUCUUAUAAACCCGGAGGUUAUCAAAAGUUUCCUUCAAGUCACCUAUCAAUGUUUCCUCCUUUCUGGACUUCACCACAAUAUCAUCCACAUAUGCAUGAACAUUGCGCCCAAUCUGUUUAUGCAGGCAAUUCUGGACGCAGCGCUAAUAAGUCGCCUGGGCACUCUUGAGCCCAAAAGGCAUAGAUACGUAGCAGAAGGCUCCAAAGGGAGUUAUGAAAGUUGUAUUCUCCCGGUCCUUAACUGCCAUUUUGAUCUGAUGAUAACCAGAAUAAGCAUCCAGAAAAAUCAAACGGUCACAACCUGCCGUAGCAUCAAUGAUUUGAUUGAUACGAGGAAGAGCAAAGGGGUCAGCUAGACAGGCUUUGUUUAAGUCUGUGUAAUCCACACACAUAUGCCAAGUGCCGUUUUUCUUAAGUACUAGCACCAGAUUAGCUAGCCACUCAGGGUGAAAAACCUCCACAAUAAACCCUGCUGCCAAGAGCUGGGCUACCUCCUCACCAAUAGCUUUACACCUCUCUUCAUUGAAGCGGCGGAGAAACUACCUGACCGGUUUGAACUUAGGAUCUAUAUUAAGAGUGUGCUCAGCGAGUUCCCUCAGUACACCUGGCAUGUCAGUAGGCUGCCAUGCAAAGAUAUCCCGGUUCUCACGGAUGAACUCGAUGAGCGCGCUUUCCUAUUUCAGAUCCAAAUUAGCGCUGAUGCUAACUGUUUGGAUGAAUUGCCAGGAAUAAACUCAACCAGCUUAGUCUCCUCAGCCGAUUUAAAUUUCAGCGCCAGAUCAUGCUCUCUAGUUGGCUUUUUCACAGAAGUCAUAUCUGUCGGAUCAACAUUGUCCUUAUAAAAAUUCAGCUCCUCUGUGGCACAAAUCGUUUCAACAUAAGCCGCAUCACCUUCCUCACAUUCCAAAGCAAUCUUCCGGCUCCCAUGCACUGUGAUGGUCCCCUUAUGACCCGGCAUCUUAAGCUGCAUAUACACAUAACAAGGCUUUGCCAUGAACUUAGCACUUCAAAAGUCAACACCUCUGAUCUUGAAUCAUGAUCAUCUCCAAAAGCAACCUCCAGAGCUAUCUUGCCAACCGGGUAUGCCGAUUUACCAGGCACCAUACCAUGAAACACGGUGUUUGACGGUUUAAGAUUCUUAUUUGUUAACCCCAUGCGACGGAAGGUUUCAUAGUAAAGGAUAUUGAUACUGCUUCCUCCAUCCAUAAGCACUUUGGUAAACAUAUACCCCCCAACCUGAGGUGCCACCACCAAGGCCAGAUGACCCAGAUUGUCAACCCGGGGUGGAUGAUCCUCUCGACUCCACAGGAUGGGCUGUUCAGACCAGCGCAGAUAACGAGGUACAGCCGGUUCAACGGAGUUCACGGCCCUUUUAUGAAGCUUCUGAUCGCGCUUACAUAAGCUAGUGAUGAAGACAUGGUAUUGCUCUGAUAACCCGAUUGUUGUUGUUGUUGAUUCCCCUGAUGGUUGUAACCUGUCUGAUUGCCCUGACUGCCUUGAUUGCCAUGUCCGGUUUGGUUGCCUUGGAAUCCUGAACCGGAGCUGCCACCUCCAUAACCCGGCCCAUGGAAACCACCUCCUGAACCGUCAGGUGGUCCAUUGUCGUGUUGAAAGAGAUUUGGAUUUUUGAACUCCCGCGUGAUGAAGCAAUCCUUCCAAAGAUGUGUACCUGGUCUCUCCUUUGAUCCGUGCUUUGGGCAAGGAUUAUUUAAGAGGCGCUCUAGAUUGGGACAUGGCCCUCCACCCCGCUGGGGCGGUUUACCCUUACGCCGCUGACCGUUAUCCUGUGUGUUGGUGUUAGCCACAAAGUCCAAGCUAUUAUUCGCCUUGCGUUUACCGUUGUUCCCAUGACCUGCCGAGUUAUGCUGCUGCCCCUUGGUGCUGCCGCUCUUCUUUCCCUUCCAUGUCUUGUCAUCAUCAGACUCGGGGUCCUUGGUGCUAUCGGAGUCGGCAUACUUCACCAGAGCCGCCAUAAGUGUUCCCAUGUCAUUACAAUGGCGUUUGAGCCGUCCCAACUUUAGCUUCAAAGGUGCAAACCAAAAAUUGCCUUCCAAUGUUAAAACGACUGUGUUAGCGUUGAUUCGGUUUGAUGAAUGCAAAAUCCCUAAAAUCCGGCGUACCCAGCGGGUUGUUGAUUCUCCUUCCUCCUGGACACAGGCAGCUAAAUCCACGAUUGACAUGGGCUGCUUGCACGUAUCCUUGAAAUUCUGGAUAAAUCGGAACCGUAACUCGGCCCACGGCCCAAUAGAGUUGGCCGCCAGAUUUUCAACCAUGUGCGAGCUGUUCCAUCCAACAUCAUGGUAAAGUAUUUGGCACACGCUGCUUCGUCCACAUCCAACAUCUCCAUUGCCAUCUCAUAGCUUUCCACCCAUGACUCGGGGGAUAAAUCAGCGGUGUAAUUCGGCACCUUGUGCGGGCCUUUUAAAUCCUUGGGUAGCCGUACAUUGCGCAAUGCUGGGACGAGACAUGGUACCCCCAACGAACUGGAGGUAACCCCUGGCUCCACCGACGUUGUUGGACGAACCAGAGUGAGUUGGCGGGCCUCAUGCUGCGCCGCUAACUCGGCCUCUCGACGUGCCCUAGCGUGAUCCACUACAUCCUGAGCAUUGCCACCGCCGCCCGCCGGGUUAUGGCCACGGGGCGGAUUACGAUUCCGCGUGCUGCUUGAUACGGUCGGUUCAUUGAUAUGCCUGCUGUAGCUCCGACUCGGGCGGGGAGUAGAAUGAAUCCUUUCACGGCUAUAUGAAUAAGCCUACUACUGAGUCAAGGCCGUCUGAAGGAGCUCCCUAGCCCGUCGUGUCUCAACUGCUUCCGGGGACUCGCCAUCAAUCGGGAGGGCCGCCAAUCGUGAAGCGGCAGCAACGAUGUUAUCCAACGGGUUAGAGUAAUGACCCGAGGCGUUGAGACGUGUCGUGAUGGGACAUCAUUCUGACGAGGCUGAGGCGGCAGCUCCAUCACGCAUGGCUGAACCGGUCCCCCGGUCCCAGGUGCCUCCGCCCGGUUUACCACUGGCUGGUUGCUGGUGCCUGCUCCUGGCAUAUUAAAGAGAUUUCUUGCCUCAAAAACCGGCGGAAGGUGUGACCAGUAUCUCCUCAUAAUGACAUCAUCUGACGCACUCUGAUCCAGCAUAAGCCGGGAAGCCUGAGCCUCUAACUCAGUCGACUGAGACCUAGCCGCACCCUUUCGUAAAACCUUUGUGUAGGAAGAGCACAGCCCACAUCCUGCAUUGCACACCACAACAUUGUCCACAACACACUCGCUAAAAAGUAUUGAAUAGCUAGUUUUGUUAAAACUGUCCAAAACAUCGUUACUAGAGGCCUAGCAUUGAAAAAAGGUAUAAUUCGACCCAUAUGGGCUUAAGUACCGGCCACCAAAGACAAUUGAAACGGCACCGACUAGGGGAUUAGAGCAACUCAAACGGGCCGACCCAAACGGACGGCGCUUUUGUCCGCUUUUUGUCCGUUUGGGUCGGUCCGGCGGACACAAACGUCCGGCGCUGUGUUUGGGUUGGCGCGAGCGCCCAACGCUGGCCCGACCCAUUUCAUCGACGCGCCAAAAAAAAUGUAUUGCAAGCAUUUUGAAAAUAAAUACAUGUAUUUAAUUAAACAUAAAAGACGGCCACGAAGGCCGGCGAAAGUCCACAUUACAUUAAUUAAAAACACUAAACUAGAUGACGCGCUGCCCUAGGCGUCCUCGUCGGUGGCGGCGUCUGCGUCGGGACCGGUGAGGUCGAUCAACGUUGGCGCAGGGCCGGCCCAGGGGAACAUCGUGUUCCAGACGGCGGUGAUGUCGGGCUUUCCGCCGCUGCCUGGGCCUGGCCCGCCUCCUCUUCGGCCUCGCGCUCGAGCAUCUGCAGGCGCUCGCCCUCCCGGCGGUCCUUGGCAAGCCGAACACGGCGCCAGUGGUCGAGGUAGGCCGCCUCCUGCUUCUCCGUCACCCCGAACCAGAUCGGCGGAGCGCUGACCCACUCGCGGACUACUCCGGUCCAGGAGUAGCACUCGAUGUAGGCCAGCUCCUCUGGCUCGGCUUUGGGCGGGGACGGCAGGGCCAUCGGCAGCACGACACAGUCGCCCGCCGCGAAGAAGGCCAUGGCCUCCGACAUGGCUGCCUCGAAAGCCGCGUCGUCCGCCUCCCUCCACCGCUCCACCUCCUCGCUCUCCUUGAUGGCCGCCUGGUAGGCGGCCUCGGCCUCCUGGUCCUCGUCACAGACGACGAGGGCGGGAGGCCGCAGGCUGUGCUUGACGCCACGGACGCCGCGUCGCCUCGCCUCCUCGUGCUCGAAGGCGAACCAUCGAGCCCAGUUGAGCGAGUCGACGGUGAAGCGCGGGUCGGCGCGCUGCUCCAACAUCAGCAACGCCCGCCGGCGCCGCACCUCCUCCGCAUGGGCCCUGGCCGUCCGCGACGCGCCGGCACUGGGAUCCUCUCCAGAUCCAAAUGCCAGUCGUGCGGCGGCGUCACGUCCGGGUACGACAGAGGCACACGGUGGUGCCAGUGCCACUCGGCCUGAUGCAACGGCACGUUGAUGCGCUGCCUCUACCGGGAAGCGCGCGCCGGCGCAGGGAGGGCGGGGAGGGAGGGGGAAUGGCGGGCGGGGGCUUUGCCCUUGCGGCUGCUGCCGAUGCCGAAGAAGAAACCCAUGCUGGCGGUGGCUAGGGUUGUCGCCGGCAUGGGGGCAGGGGUGGCCAGAUGGGGACGGGGGCGAGUGGUAGUGGAUGAGGACGACCCCGCCGCACGCCCGGCUUAAAAAAGGACGAUUGCCGCCGCUGACGCAUGGGCCCAAGGUGGGCGGUCGUCAUAAAUUAUGUUGACCAAGGUAGUUAGACGGCAGCCAGGUGGGGACGCGACGGACGGCGAGGAGACGCGCGGCGCGUCCGCUUCGCGUCCGCACCGACGCAUUCCAGGCGUAAUUUUGGGCCGGAAAUGGGUCGGCGCGGACACCGGGCGAACACGAUUUAAGUUUGGCUCGGCGCGUUGGGCCGCCACUUUUGUCCGCGCCGACCCAAACGGACGCGGGCGUACGAAAUGGGUCGCCCCAUUGAAGUUGCUCUUAUAUUUACCAUGUGGUGAAUUAGGAAUUUGUGUGAGAUGUGUAGAAAGUGACCAACACGGUCCAAACUCCUACGUGGAUAAGCAUCACACCGACAUGAAGACUGCCACUGGCGGAGGCCUCUAGUGGGCAAGGUGUGGCGCCUGCCAUACCUUGAUCGGGUGCAAAUUUUCUUUUAUAUGUACGCAUCGUCUCCCUGGUCGCUCAGUCGCUGGCUACGCUAAUUAGUGUGCCAUGAAAAUCGCCAAAGACUUGGAGAAAAACACCCGUUUGGAUGCCAUCAGAUGGGCCACGAGCGGAUGGGCCACGAGCUGCUGCAGGAGACGCAUCCCUUUGCACUUUGCACGCACAGGUCGUUCACGAGCUAGAUCGAAACGAAACACAGACGACCAAACCUAGCACUCGGGAGCAAUUUUGCUCGGCCAAACCUAUCACGGCGGCGGCGGCUGGCCAGGAGGACGGGACGGUCAAUGGCGGGGCGGGGUGUCGAACAAGCAGGUGGUCGGGCGCUGCCGCGCCGGGCGCACUGCGGCGGGCUGAGGGUUGGGGCUGGCAGGCGGUGUCAAGGAGUGAUGGCGCAGCCGCACAGGCGCAGCGUCAUCCUCUCGGGGCAGCGUCGCAUCGAGCUUUGAGUCCAUCACGGGCUCACGGCCGUCAGCUGGUGCAGUAAAUGUAGAGGAAAGGAAAGAGGCUAGCAAAGCCAAUGGAAAAGGGGGAGGCAGAGGUAUAUUUUUCUGAAAUUAAACAAUUUGUAUCAUGCAAUUAUAGUGAUUUCAGACUUUCAGUGAUAAUGGCACCGCCAUUGCCUGGGUCUUCUAGACGCGAGUGAAAUCUUCUUUAUCGAUAUGUUUUAGGUUGUUUUUCUAUUGAAACAUGUCUACAUUUUCAAUGUAUUUGGUUUUUUAUUUGUACCAUGCAUUGUUAGUGUGUAUUGACUGUUUUGAUUCGCACCAAAAAGUUCUUUGCUUAAACUUUGCGACACCUUAAUUUUGUUUCGUCCUCCGCCUCUGAAGACUGCUAUACAUGAGCUAUAUAUAAAGGCGCGAGAGACCCUUGCGGAUAACACAUGGGGUCAUGGGCAGUUUGAUGCUAAUUUCGUGAGAAAAACUUUCGAUCCAUUUAUUAGUUGUCAAGAUAAUACAAAGAAACUGAAAGUAAAAAUUACAUUCAGAUCCAUAGGCCACCUAAUGAUUACUAUAAACACGGGAGGAAGCCUCGUGGCUUGGGCGGGUGGAAGGCGAGGCAACAUCGAUAAAAGCUCCACUCUUGGUUGUUGGCAAAGGCAGGAGAAGAAGACGCCUGUGGGUGCUGCUUUUUACGUCGUCGUGGAGCGGUGCUCGCUCUCUACUAAACAAUUUUGGGGAAACCUUAGAUAAUUUUGGUAUCAGCGGGGAGUGAAUUAUAGAAAAUCAUCACAUUGAUGCGUAGGUUUGUAGAAAACAUCGGUUUACGAAUUCUAUUAGAAACCACUGAUUCUCGAUCUAAUCUUUUGCAAAAAAGCACUAGUUGACAGCUUUGUUUGUUUUGAUGACAAUUAUGACAGAUGCAACCCACUCUAUGCUGACGUGGCAUAACGGUUCGUGAUAAACGGCAUUAGAGAGGGCCUUUUAUCAAAAACUCCUCUCCUUUCUAAAAAAAUCUCUCUCCGUCCCUGAUCCAGAUCGGGAUCCAAAUCUCUCUCGUUCUCCCGAUGGAUCUGCUGCUCCUUCUUCUCUCUCUGGUUCUGCCAGUGAAUGCCCGGGCGUGCUCUCUGGCGUCGAGGCCCUCGGAUCGUCGUUCUUUGAGUGGUAACCGGCCGGCGGCUAGAGGGACCAAUGAAUGUGUGAGGUUAGCGAGGGUCGUUGCGGUGGAGGGGGUCAUCUUCGGCGGUGGUUUUGGCUCGAGCCUGGAGGCAGUGAUCUAUGUGUCGCAUGCACAUGGUGCAUAUAGAAUGGGGGAUGUGCGUGCGUGAGCGAGCGAGCGAGCAGGGACGCAUGCACGCGCGGGUGCAACAGUAGGCUACUGGUACGUAAGGUCUUUUACGUGUUCUACGUAAACAACAACGUGAAGAAGGAUUAUUGGAUCGAUUAGGAGGGAAGGGGCCCACCCCUCAUUAAAAUCAGGGGGCCGAGAGGUUAUGGCAUGAAAAAUUACGUAGCCUUUCGUAGCCCCUUCGUAUGUGUAGGAUUAUCGCAUGCACACUACUGGAAGCCAGUACCCACGCACUUACGCCGAUGUCCAUCCUACGUGCCGCGCAGCUGGCCGGCCGGCGGGUGCCACGGUCGAGCACUCGCAUGCAGUCACCGAGACGGCGGGGCGGCGACCACCCAUGAUUACGUAAAUGAUGGAUUGGCGGCCGGACCGGCGGCGCCGGGGGAGGUGGUUUAACGCAUCGCCGAUGUUACUACCGCGCGGAACUGUGCACGGUGAACCUGCGCCGUCCUGCCGUGGGGAUCCGCUGCCGGCCGGCUCGUGGACAGGAGCAAUUAAAGGUGUUCCUCUCGCGCCAAGGUCUGUCUGAUGCGGCCCACUGUAGGCCCAGGACGUCUUCGCCUGGUUUUUUACGGUGACUCGCUGGAGCCCGCUCGGCCCUCUAUGGAUUAACUGCCGCUGUGCAUUUGUCUCAAAAAAAAAAAAAGAACUGCCUCUGUGCAUUCUUCUAAAAAAAACUACCUCUGUGCAUGCAUGCAUGCAUGCAUGCGAAGAAGGGUGCGAAUCGAUCAACGUCCAACGAUUUUCAGGAACCAACGUACUAUACACCAACAUAUACUCGUAUAGUUGUCACACAAAACACACGAUCCCAGCUCCCAUGAGCCGUGCCGUACGCCUCUGGUCUCUUCCCCGCGAUUUGGAAACUUGAUGGCAGAGCAGUGGCAAGGCGGAUUUGCAUGCCGGCCGUGUCCUCCCCUCGCUCGCGGCCGCAGGAGGAUGAGGGGCCAUUGGACGUCCGUGCCCUCGCACCUGAAUGAUGACUUCAGCAAGCAGCAGCAGCUGGGCACUCGUGCAUGCAUGCCACUCUCUGCCACGCACAUGCUCGCUCCAUGGAGGUCCUUCGAGGCACGGGCAGGAUCAGCCUCGACGACAUGGCACAGAUCCUGUAGGCCCGUGCAGUGCACCGCCCUAGCUAGCAAUCGACACGGCCGGUAAUAUUAACCAAAACUCUGCUGCGUGCAGCACUACGGAGCGAGCUGCAGCAUGGCAUGGUCCGUGCAUUCACAGUUCAUGGGGGUUGUUCGUGUAUAUGAACGGUGCAAGAGAGUUUGCGCAAUGAGGGCUGUCGCCGGCGACACAGCGGGGGUUCAUUGCGGACCAUAUCUCUGCUGAGAAGAGAAUAGUGCCGCAGGCCAGAAAGUCAAGGUGCCAAUGGAAAGUACUCGCUCCAUGGCUUCAUCCUACUUUCACCGUUCGGAAUUACUUGUCGCAGAAACAGGAACGAAGCUCCAGUAUGGCCGCUCGGGUCAAUUGACCCCAAUGCCUUUGAGUAUUUGAAGCUAACUAGGUCCAUCAAAACUGUGUUUGACCCCAGCCCAAAAUAUGUGUUGACCCCAGCCCAGUAGCUAAUGUCCAAUUAUUCAUAGUCUCAGCCCAUAACAUCGGUAAUUUCUAGUGAAGGAUAAAAAAGAAUGUGGUGUACAGCUCCACACAGCCUUAGCACACAAGGCCCAAUGCAUAAUACGUGGCUUAGGCUUACACACCAUAACACACGCGUACAUGUUUGACGUUUCGUGAACAACCCAGGUCGCCUGAUUCGUCUCUUCCGCCAUCGUCAGGUCGCCUCUCCGUCUCAUCGCCUUCCCCUAAUCUUUUCCUCACCCCAACUCUCAAACCCUAACCCCCAAUUUGCAUCGGCGACAGCAGCGAUCCCUAAUCUCCAAAGGUGAUGCCGGCCGGCCAGCCGCCGCCAUAUAAUCCUUAAUCUCCCGAGUGUUGGAUGCCCACUUGGCACUUGCCCUCCUCGACGUCCUCGUAGGCUGUUCUCACGCAGGCAAGCCAAUCUUUUUUUUCAGUUUCUCUUGGUCUCACGCACUAACAACUCUGUCUCUCCGGAUGGCUAAUUACUAAAUUUGGUUUAUGUUUUUUGCUGCAUCUAGGAGGCUAGGGCUAGAAGGAUAUGGACAGAUUUCUGCUGAAACGAACGGCACUAGAGACUGAUCUGGCUGGGACUUCAAGGCCAGUUAGACUAAGGCAAGAUCACCCAUCAAAUGUUGGUACUACUACUACAACAGAUAUUAAUUUGGAUGAACUUCCUUUUGAUCCGGCCAAUCGAAAAAGAAUAUCAUAGUACACUAAGAAUCCAAAGAAGCAAGAUGAGAUCAGAAGAAUAUAUUUAACUAGAGGACCUUAUAGGCCAAAAGAAGGCUUUGUAUAUCCGCAGAAGACCAUCGGAGGAUUCGAAAGAAGAUUCAAGCCAGAAUGGUUUAAAGAUUAUCAUUGGCUAGAGUACAGUGAUAAAGUGCAUAAGGCAUUUUGCCAAUGUUGCUAUUUGUUCAGAGAUUGCAUCGAAGGUCAAGGUGGGAAUGAUGCAUUUGUUGUCAAUGGUUUCUCUAGUUGGAAUAAGAAAUACAGAUUGGAUACUCAUGUGGUGAGGUUAAUAGCUAUCACAAUGUAGCUGCUAAAAGGUGUGAUGCCUUGAUGAAUCAAGAUCAGUCCAUUAAAGUUGCCCUCAACAAGCAAACUGACAUCACAAAAAGGAAAAACCGUAUUCGGUUGAUGACUUCCGUCGAAUCUGUUAGAUACUUGUUACAUCAAGGUUUAGCUUUCCGUGGCAAUGAUGAAUCAGAGGAAUCCAAAAAUAAGGGGAAUUUUUUAGAGGUGGUACAAACAUUAGCAAAUCAGAAUGAGGAUGUGAGGAAUGUAGUUCUUAAGAAUGCUCCAAAAAAUUGCAAAUGGGUGUCUCCAGAUAUUCAAAAGGAACUUGCAAAUUAUUUUGCAAAGGUAAAUUACUACUUACUAGCAUCGCUGUUCUUUAUUUAUUUCAUGUGAUUUAUCUCUCUGAGCACCCAAAAAUAUAUUUUAUCUUGUUUGUUACAGAUAACAUUGAAUUCUAUUCUUGAAGAAAUUGGUGGUGAUGUUUCCAGUUUGUUGAUUGAUGAGGCUUCCGAUGUGUCAGACAAAGAACAAAUGGCUGUUGUGUUGAGGUAUGUUGAUAAGCUUGGGUUAACCCUAGAACGACUAGUUGGGGUAGUACAUGUGAAGGAAACAUCGGCAACGUGUCUCAAGUCAGCCCUUGAGAAAUUGCUUGUUGAUAUUGGAUUAAGCUUCAAACAAGUUAGAGGGCAAUGCUAUGAUGGGGCGAGCAAUAUGAGGGGUGAUUUCAAUGGUUUGAAAGCUAAAAUUCUGGAAGAGAAUAUGUCAGCAUAUUACGUGCAUUGUUUUGCUCACCAACUCCAAUUGGUUAUCAUAGCGAUUUCAAAGAAGAAUGAAGAUAUUGCAGAUAUCUUUUACAUGAUUUCUCUUCUGUUUAAUGUGGUUGGAGCUUCUUGCAAAAGAAAAGACAUGAUCCGAGAGAAUAAUAGAGAGAAUGUAAAAAAAGCCAUAAGUAGCGGGCGAAUUAGUACAGGCACAUGGUUGAAUCAAGAUCAAUCACUUCAAAGGGCGGGAGACACCCGUUGGGGUUCUCACUAUAGAACCCUCUCAAGCCUAAUUCAGUUGUUCCCAUCAAUUGUCAGUGUCCUCAAGUAUGUAUCAAAAGAAGGCAAGAAAGAUUCCAAGAAAAGUGAAGCACGUGGUCUUCUAUCAUAUUUUGGAACCUUUGAUUUUGGGUUCUAUUUGCACAUGAUGUUCCAUAUAUUAGGGAGUGCCAACACUCUGUCACAAGCAUUGCAACAAAAGGAUCAAGAUAUCUUGAAUGCAAUGUCAUGUGUGAAGUCAACAAGGAAUGAUCUACAACAACUAAGAGAUAAUGGGUGGGAAUCACUUUUGGAGAAGGUAUAUUCAUUCUGUGAAGAACAUGACAUUCCAGAGCUAAACAUGCAUGAUGAACAUGUCAAUCGACGUAAUACACGAAAAAGAACCAAUAUAACAAACCUGCAUCAUUAUCAAAUAGAUGUCUUAACAUUGUUAUUGAUUGGCAACUUCGAGAGUUUGAUGACAGAUUCAAUGAAGUAAAUUCUGCAUUGCUUAUUCACAUGGCUUCUUUCAACCCAAAAAACUCUUUCGCUCCUUUUAACUUGGAGAGUUUGUUGAAGCUAGCUGAGUUUUAUCCUGAGGAUUUUGAUUCAUCAAAAUUGAUGGAUCUUGGACAUGAACUUUGGAUUUACAUUGACAAUGUCCGAGCAGACCAAAGAUUUGCCAAUUUGGAUGGCAUUGUGGAUCUUGCUAAAAAGUUGGUGGACACUAAGAAGCAUCUUGCUUUCCCUUUGGUGUAUCAACUUCUAAAGCUAGUGCUAAUUUUGCCGGUUGCCACAUCGUCAGUGGAGAGAUGCUUUUCAGCAAUGAAUAUUGUGAGGAGUGUUUUACGCAACAAAAUGGGUGACCAGUUCAUGAGUGAUUGCUUGAUUUGCUAUGUGGAGAAAGAUAUAUUUGCUACCAUUACGAAUGACGCCGUAAUUGAUCUAUUUAAGAAGAUGGGAGAUCGAGAAGGCAAGUUAUAAAAUGUGAGUCUAACAUCACUCUAACUUUUUGUUUAUGCUAUUUAUUCUCUAUAUUAUUUCUUACACACCAUUGUUGUGAAUGUAAUAUAUUACUUUUGUUCAUCCUUUUCAGGAAAUUACAAAUGAAAUUGUUAGAAGACAUCUUUUUUUGCUUAUUUUCCCUGAAUAUGUAAACAAAUGAUUUUAUGACUUUGCGGAACCAGUACUUUGUAUGACAAUCUUAUUAUUAUGAUACUAGUUUCUCAUUGGCUCAUUGCAUAUUUUCGCUCUUCAUGUCACCCUUGGAUGUUAUUUCUAUUUGUGUUAUAAUGGGCAUAUUUUUGUUUUUUCCUCUUUAUAUUGCUCUCAGCGUGAGUCACACCAUAGCAUGUGUUGUAGUAGGCAUUGGACAUUGAUUGACCCCAAUGACAAUUUUUUCUAGCUUCGUCCCUACGCAGAAAUGAAUGUAUCUAGACGUAUUUUAGUUCUAGAUACAUCCAUUUUCGAGACAAAUAAUUUUGAACGGAGGGAGUACAAUAUAAGAUGUUUUUUAAGCUAUGUUAUCUUGCAAAAACGUUUUAUAUUACGGGACGAAGGAAGUACAUACUACGUUGUGAGGGUGGGUUGGUUGGUUGGUGGUUGGCCAAUUGCCACCUUCAAGGAAUUUUAUUGGGCGCCGUGCGUGGGUAUUCGAUUUUCAAACGGAUUUGCACAACUUUACUCCGGCACUCUGCUUGUUCCGUUGGGCUGUUUGUUUGUCCUGCCUGCAGGCCCUCACCAGAGGAAUGAGCAGGUAGUCCGCAUCAACCAGCUGCACAGCCAUGUGACGAGUGAAUGUGAGUUAACAGGGCACCAUUAGUCCAGGGAUUAAUUGGCAGGCUGCACAAGGUACUAGGCAAAUUGGUUUUGGGCAGUACGUUUCGUCCUACCAGGAAUUUUACUAACAGGGAUGUAGUACGUCAGCAAUUAUCUUCGAAGGAAUGAGGCUGGCAUGUCCUCCAUUCCACUCCGUCCAAGUGGCAAGCACUGUGAGGGUGCCCAUUAUCACUUUCUUUGAUGAUUUGAGUUCCUCAUUUCCUUUGUCUACCGUUCCUUAAUUCAAAAACAAUUAGAAGAAAAGGUAAAAGGAAAUGAUUAUUUAGCAUCAAAGAUGGAUAAAGUGCUUGCAAAACUUCGUGACGAGAUUGCGGGAGCUCUCCACAAACUAACUAAAAUCUGACCUCUCAAAAAGCUUUCAAAAUACAAAAAAAAUUGACAGGAUCUUCGAGUUUCCAUGGGUGCAGAUGUGGCCUCGUAAAAAUUUGACUCAUCAGGCCAUUUCUUGACGGGAGCGCUAUAUAAGGAGAUUUAAAUAGCACCAAGAUAUGAGCUGAUGGGGAUUUGGAAAGCCAGAAUUCUAGGAAAUUUUAAGAUCUUAUGAAAAGUGGCGCGGUACCGAAUUCCUAGGCGAUGGUAAAUGUGUGUUGUGUGGCGGAGAUGAGGACUGGUCACAUUCUUUCACGAUGCAUUAUUGCGAGAUUCGUGUGGAGUGUGAUUAGGGAGGCUUCGUGGAGCUCAUCGAACGCAGCGGGGUUUGUGGAGCUACCAACCUAUUCAGGGGACAAGAGCGAAUGAUAGGACGCUAGCAAGAGCGAAUGAUAGGACGCUAGAAUGGGUUUGCUUUGCAGCCUUAGAACAUCUACGUACGGACGUCUCAAACUCGUCUCAUAUAUAUAUCCGGACGUGCCGUCUAGUAUUGUCCGGUCGUAAAAUUUUAACCUAGACGGCGCCUUAAACGGGCCUCAAACGUUCGGACUGACCGACAAUCCUCAUAUUUAGCCUAAAUAUGGGGCGGAUAUGGGCGCCCAAGCACGCCCGCCACGUCAGACCCAUCCUACGAUGGCCCACCCAACCCCACAUAUAUUUCGCCUCAUCCGCUCGCCGGACAAAACCCUAGCCACUUUAACUCACUCCUCUCCACCCCCUCCGCCACCCAACCUUGUCUUCGACGCCAUCCGGCCGUAUCCCGCAUGGUGAGCAGCGGAUCCAAGUCCUUCACCUCCAGAUCCGUCGACCCCGAGCUCAUCCCACGCGACCCCGAGGAGGAGAUGGCCAUCCGGCUUACGCUCCGCCGUGCCUUGGGUGAGGCUCAUGCACGACAGCGGUUGGACUCCUUUCGUCUGGAAUCCAUCGCGUCCGCCCAAAUGACGCAUGGAUCCGGCGCUAGGGCAGCCGCCGUGGCCUCAUCGGAGGCGGUGCAUUCCUUCUGGCCUCCGAACACAGUGGCGGACACGCAACCCUUUCGUUGGCACGCCGAGCAUCGGGACGCACCAUGGGCCUCAUCUGAUGAGAACAUGUCAUGGCGUUCUUGCCGUGCGAGGUAGCGGGUGCGGGAGGUGGCGGCAUCCCUCGCGGUGGUGGACGUCGGCGAGGCGGAGUCGCGUUCUCCGGCGUCACAUAUGGUGCAGCACUUCGGAUGCCCCAACCGCAUCGUGGUGGAUGUCGGCGGCUCGUCCCAGGACGGAUCCACCAUCGAUCUGACGUCCACCGGCACCCAAUGGUUUCUAGGCUCUGACAAGAAAAAGUAGGGUAUGGGAAACGGUGGCGCCUUGAGUCCCGUGAGCCGGCUCAUAUCCCAUGCCCUACUCUACCUUGCCGGCGACCGGACCAACACUCUGGGGAGCACAGCCGGCCGCCGGACAUGGCCACGGUGACCGGAUGAGCUCCGCUUAAAGAUCACUACGUUGCAUGUAAUAAUAAGAAUUUGAGCUUUCUAAAUUGAGGUACCCACAUGUAGAUUGCAUUAUUUGAGACGUGACCGGUCAGUGUCGGCGGACGCGUCCGGACCCGUCUACGUCUACGGGUGUUUGAUGCGCCGGAUUUGCAAAGUCCGGUCGUACAUGCUCUUAGCAUGGUCACUACGUACUGCUCGUAAUAAAGCAUUGAUGGAGGGUCGUUUCUUUAAACAUCUAGCUGACCUCAUUUACAAAAAUGUUGUAUUCUUCCAGCUAUGGAAGCUCUUCCGGGGAUUGAAGGAAGGACCGUCCGCGACGUAAGAUCUACACCAACAAGCUUUCCGCAAAGUGUCGACAACUCCGAUCGGUGUCGUGACCAGAUAACACAGGCUAGGUGUGGGCUCUCGUCCAUACACCUAGACCCAUCUAGCUUGGGGUGGUAGCCUUGUAGGCAUGCGCUGCGUGACUGCGUCGCUUGUGUUUGGCCGUCCUUAGCUAUUUAUCGGACAUGUACUCUUUACUUUCGUGUUUUCAGUUCUGAAAUAGUAGUUGUAAAACUUAAGGGUCUCAUUUUAACGCUCGUUAAGCGCCUCCAUCCUAAAAAUAAGUAGUGCCAUUUUGAAUGCCAUUGCCUACAACUUUCAGAGAUGCAUGCAUGGGCGUAGAAGAAACAUCCGGUUCUGUCUGCGAACACGCACAGCUAGUUGCGGGCGGCAACGAGCGCCGCGCUAGAACGGCAUAUCCGUCGGCACUUGCUUGCACUGCGCGAGCACAUGCAGAGGCUCAGGGGCAGCCCCAGCGGCGCCAUGGGCAUGAGCAUGCAUGUAGCUAGGUAGGGCAAAGAAAUGAUGAUGGCACACGGAGAAAACAUAGACGGGCACAUGUUCCAUCCCAGGGGCUCUCAGGCUCCAGCAUCUAGCUAGCCAUAGCCACGAUAAUAAGUUAGAUAUAGCUAGCUAGCGGAAGCAGUGUGCGUGCGUGCGUGCGCAUUGUACGAUCUACAGGAGAUCGGGGGAGACACAAAGAAUCAUGGUCGUUGGGGAGGCCAUGUAACAGCAAUUUGAAGUGCUGAAUGUGCCCGUGAGCACCCUCCUGGGCCCUUGCACUGCAAUGAUCCAUGUUAGUAGCCGCUACCACCAUUUUGCGGCCGACCGUCACUAUUCUAUCUCAUCAUUCUCUCCCUCAUUCUCGCCUAGCUUGUUCCUGUUCCUCGGUCUUUGUCUUCGUCGCCCGUCUUGAUGAUAUCACAGGAAUUUAAUAAAUGUUUGGUGAUCUCCUGACUUCUCUCAUGUGAGUGUGAAUUGGAGCUUGCCGCCAUCAUCGGUUUGUCAAGUGACGUGCUCCAUGACAUCCAUGGCAUGCGCCGGACAGUCCCAGCUGAUACCUAAGAGCAUCUACAGCUGCUGCGGACACCAAAUUCGGCAUCUCAAAUGUCCGCGGACGCGCGGCAUCUACAGCCGCGGACAUCAAAUUCGGCAGCUCAACACCCGCGGACGCGAUAGCGGGCGCUGACCAGUCAAACCUUAUAUACUUGAUGCUGUGCAUUCUGGUACCUCAUAUUUCAUCCCCUGAAUCCAUACAAACCAUGCACACACAAAAUCCUUUGUACUACGCAAAUCACGCUAGCUAGCCAAAACUACGCUUCGUCGUUGGAGAUGUCCACGAUAUCCGUGCCGGGUGCCGGGUUUAGCUGGCCGCGUAGGAGGGCUUCGACUCCUCGUCCUCAUCCAUAUACGUGAGCAUCUCGUCGACGGAUGUGGCGUACUCCACCUCCACCUCGUGCAGAUGCCAGCGGUUGGCCUCCGCUUCCGCCUCCGCCCGGAGGGAAUUAAGGAUUGUCUGCUGCUUCGCCUGCAGAUCCAUGUCCCCAACAUCCCCAUGUCCUCCUCCUCCUCCUCGUCAUGUUGCUCCUCCAGCUCCUCCUCCUGCUCCGUGUCCUCGCCAUUAUCCUCCUGUUCCUCCUCCUCCUCCUCCAACUCCUCGUCCGGAUCCAUCGCGUCCGGAGGUUGCCCCGCGGCUAUCUAGGCUUCACGCCUUGCUCGGAUCUGCUUAAGGAGAUGCAACCGGCGUGCCGGCAUUAGUAGAUCCUUACCCGGUGGCGUGGUGGCAUAGCUACUAGUGGUGGCGGACAGCGAGCGGCAGGCAAGUGGAAAGUGGUGGCGGUGGGCGGGAGGGGAAGAAAUGUGGACGGCUAGGGUUUUGAUGUCGGCGGUUGGCUUAAACAACCGGGCUAUGGCUCUAUGCGGCCCGCCGGAGUAGCGCCACACGACGCCAUCAGUCCUACGGAGGAGACGAGUUUCGAAUUGUUUUCGUGAGGGACCAAGGCGCCAGUCCAACAUGACGGGCGUGCUCAGACUUCCCCAUAUCUGCCUCAGAUUUGGCGUAGAUAUGAGGGUGCUUGUGAGCCCGGACGUUUGAUGACAGUUUGAGGGGCCCUGAUGGAUCGGGUUUUUUUGACCGGUCAAUGACCAGGCAGCUCACGCGGACGUUUGAGGGGCCCUGAUGGAUCGGGUUUUUUUGACCGGUCAAUGACCAGGCAGCUCACGCGGGCGUUUGAGUGGGGUUUGAGAUGCCCGACUAUAAAUGCUCUAAGCUCAUGUCCGUUUGCAACACCGUGCCUCCCAGCACCGGCAACAAACUUUAGUCACACCAUCUUUAGAAUGGAUCCUAUAUAUACACGUGUGCAUGAUGGAUGCACACACGCAUAUAUCAUGCACAGAGUAUUAGAGCAUCUACAGCCGGACUCCUUAAAUUAACCGGGCAAGCGUGGGGACCACUAACCGGACAUAAGAGGGAAGGAAAAAGUUGACCUAACCGGACCUCUCAAAGCCUCCAUAAAUGUUUGGGCUGUCCGGCAGUCCUCAUAUUCAUCUCAUACAUGGGAUGAGUAUGAGGAGUGUCCGGGCGUGUCCGAUCAGUGCUCCUAUGUCCGCCACAUAGGAUUGGGACCCAUAGAGCAUUUUUUUCUUUUUUUAUUAUUUCUUUUCUUUCUCUCUCUCCUUCUUCACCAAGCAGAUGCAUGUGACCGGACAUAUAAAAAGUGAGAAACAUGACUAUGUGAACGAAAAAAUAAUGACUCAAAGCGAACACGUCCAGACGCUGACCAAACGCGUCCGCGAGCGUUUGAGGGGUCAAAUUUGUUCAGUCUGACUGUAAAUGACCUUAAAUGUAGCAUGAAUUUGGUUAUUUUGCGAGUAUAUGCAAACAUGUGGGGGCAUGUAUGCAUGCUCGAAGAAAGAAACUCCAUGGUGCACGGACGGGAAGAGAUGGAUCAGAAUUGCAGCAUGCUGAACUUAAGCUCAGCUUUAAGCCUGUGUCAAUUUCAUUUAUCUCUGUUUCAUACAUCUCCUUUGUGAAACAGCACUAAAGAAGGACGCGGAUAGCUCUCGGGUGCUCCACCCACCUAUAUGGUAAUAGUGUAGCCAAUAACCGGCUAUCUCAAAUUUCCAUGUCACAUAUAACCAACUUAAUAACCAACAUAAAUAGUAUAACUAGUUAUACUCCCUCUACAUAUCAAAAAUAUAACAUUACGUUUUUAUACCCCCUUUGUAUCAACAAAGACGUCUUAUAUUUUGAUACAGAUGUGAUUAAUACCUGAUCCACACCUUACACUCUUAUAAUGUUUCUUGAAACUAAUGCUGCAGUAGGUUGUUAAUCCACAGCUCGUUUCUCUUCUCUCAUCCAACUCAGCAAAAAUAUAAUACUUUGAUCCUUACAUCCUCUUGAUUGACCUUAUUAGACUUUCUCUAAUACUCCCUCCAUUCCAAUGAAUAAAACGCACACUAGACCAAUCAAAUGUGGUUUAUGUGAUAAAAAUUAUACCAUAGGAUUCUUAUUGAAGAAGUUUUCAAUGGUAUAGUUUUGAAAUCACAAAAAUGAAUAUUAUUGAUAUAAUUAUGGUAAAGGUUGGAUUUUGAAAAGCGUGCACACCUUAUUCAUUGGAAUGGAUGGAGUAGUAAAAAGACUUAUAUUUAUGAGCAGAUAUGAGUAUUUAGAUGGUUAUAUUAAUAUCUGAAGUUAAUAUAAAGGGAAACACUUCCCUUUAUAAAUACAUAGUAUUGAAUACUACUUACUACGUACAGCUAUACUCAGUUAAUGCGUUGAUCUAGGAGUACCUUGUGUCAGCUUUAAAUGGAGCAAUGAACAUACACUAGUAGAAAACAGGGCUUUGGUCCAGGCCGGGUCAGCCCAUUAGUCCCGGUUCAGUCCAGAACCGGGACCAAUGGGGGCAUUGGUCCUGAUUCGUGAGCCCAGGGGGCCGGCCGGGCCACGUGGGCCAUUGGUCCCGGUUGGUGGGAAGAACCGGGACCAAUGGGCCUCGCUCCUGGCCCACAACCAUUGGUCCCGGUUCGUGCCUCAAACCGGGACUAAAUAUUAGACCUUUAGUCCCGGUUUGAGGCACGAACCGGGACUAAUGGGGUUGAGACCUUUAGUCCCGAUUCGUGCCACGAACCGGUACUAAAGGUCCCAUUUUCAAACUCUACCCCCCCUGUGGAUCGCUUUUCAGUUAUAAAAAAAUAAAAGAAAAUGAUGGAGAUGUAAAAAAAAAUAAGUUUCCCAUAUGAUAUGUGGUCUAGUUGUUGGGAAAAUUUGCAAAUGUGAAUUUUGACUUUAUUUGCAAAAUCUCUCUGAAAUUUGUAAAAAUGGGCAUAACUUUUGCAUACUAACUCGGAUGAAAUGGUUUUUUAUAUGAAAAAUCAUCUACUCGAGAAGUUACAUCCGAAUUUAACUGGGGGAACCCCGUUAAACAUUUUCAAAAUCCUCAAAAACAUAAUAGAAAAAAGUUACGGGGCUUUUAAGAUCUAGAGUGAAAAAAUCGAAAAAAAUUCGAUCGGUGGGCAAACUGUGGUCAAACAAUGGUCAAACUAAUUAUUCUAGAAUAUUAGUGUUACUAAAUAAUUAUUUCAGUUAUUUCAAUUUUGGUCAAAUCUGGUCAAACUGUGGUCAAACAAUGGUCAAACUAAUUAUUCAAGAAAUAUUAGUGUUACUAAAUAAUUAUUGUUUUUUAAAACAAUAGUUUCAAAAUAAAACUAUGAAAUGUGUCACUUCAUGCUCAAGCAAAAUUCCUGAAGGUUAAUAGGAUUGACAUCUUAGUAUUGUUAGGAAAACAACAAGUGUAGACUUGGAGCGAGGGAGAAUAGAUCCCGGAAGUUAAGCGUGCUUAGGCUGGGGGAGUGGGAGGAUGGGUGACCGUUCAGGAAGUUAGAUGAUUUGGAAUGAUGAGGGGUGAUUAGAGGAUAAAUUGAGAAGUGACGAGGGGUGGUGAUUACAUACUAGAGGUUAAAAAAAUUCAGAAAUUUAAAAAUAAAAAAAUUCAAAAAAAAUUCAAAAAAAAUCAUAAAAUUUCCUUUAGUCCCGGUUGGUGUUACCAACCGGGACUAAAGGUGGAGCUCCACGUGGCCGCGCCCUUUAGUCCCGGUUCUGGAUUGAACCGGGACUAAAGAGAGAGGCAUUAGUACCGACCCUUUAGUCCCAGUUCCAGAACCGGGACUGAAGGCCCUUUUUCUACUAGUGAUACCUUGUACUAGAGGGAGGUGACACAUUUUUGCAUGGGAAGUUUUAUCCAAAGAAAAUUGUGAAAGGAGGGAACGUGGUAAAUGACAAUCCACUAGCCCACUACUAGCAGCUGCCGAUGCCUUGCCAUUUACCCAAAAAUGCUUGUGCCUCGCUUUAUAAAUAAAGCAAACCACCACGACCAAACGUUACAACAAAGGUCCACACACACGCACAGGAAACACAAUGCGGAGUGCUGAAAGGUUCUACUGAGGGCACAACUCAACAAGCCCUGAAAGAGGAAACAACAAGGAAGCAACAUCGUAGAGUAUAGCUAAUCCGGCUCAGGUGGCGGCAGAGGGAGCGGUGGCGCCAAGCGGAGAGCCAUCACGCGUAGAUUAGCAAUGAUGAUGUUGAUGGUGUCCCGAUACUGUGGGCGGCUAAGCGGCCGCUAAAGCUGCAAGUAGCCACACAUUUUGAACAUUGCGUCAGUACCACGUCGAAGGGGCACAUGCUAGAUCACAAGCUUAUUGCGCACAUUCCACAAUGUCCACGCAUGCACCCCGAUGGCCAGCCACCUAAUAUGGCGGCCCCGCGGGGCGGGGGGGGGACUGGAUCUCGUCGAAUAGGUCAGGGAAAUUGGUGUUACACCAACCACCUCUCGGAAACAACUCCAGAGGAACUAGGCAGAAACACACGAGAAAAAGAUGUGGUUGGAGUCCUCCUUCGUCCCACAUAGUGGGCACGUCCCAUCACCCGGGCCAUUGCGUAUGCGGACCUCCACACCAGAAGGAAGUCGGCCACGGAUCCAUUGUCAUAGGAAGAUUCUGAUCUUUAGAGGGAGUCACUACAAGAAAUAUGUCAACUUGUGACCCUCACUAUUGGCCGCUGAAAGGUCAUAGUUUUUCAUUUGCGACCUUUUUGUGACAAAAAACAGAAGGUCAAAAGCUGGCGGUUAUAAACUGAAAUUAGUGACCUUCUUUGUGAUAUGUAAAAGGUCGUUGGCUCCACGACCAAAUUUUUGGUCACUAGCAACCUCCCCAGGCCACGUAGGCAUCCAGCGUGGCAAGCUGAUGUGGCACAAGAAUCAGCCCGGUCCGAUUCGGCGUUUUACAUGGGCCGAGCCCAACAAUUUGACCUUUUUAUAUAUUUUUCUGUCAAUUUUUGAUCGGCUUCAUGGGCCAGGCCCAACAAUUCAGCCUUGUUAGUUUUUGAGAUUCAUGCAAUUUUUUUGGCCCUCGGGCUUUUUGCAGUCUAUUUCUUUUUUGUAAGACUUUUCAUUUCAUUUUUGAAAUUGUUCGAUGCUUGUUGGUAUGUGGCCUGUUUUAGCCCAAUUAUUUGUCCAGUUUAGCCCAAGCUGACUUUAGCCCAAUCACACACAUACAUCCACCAUUAUUUCAUUCAAAUUAGGAAAACUCCCAGGUUUACAUAACACAAAAAUCAUCUCAGGAAUACAUUUCCUUACACAAGACUAUACAAUAAGAAAGAUGGCACAUCUGCUACUAUCAUAACAACAUAAUGUACUUUUUUAACGGAAUAGUACAAUGGAUUUCAUUGCUCUCCCUUAUGCGACAUGCUCCAGCUGCCACAACUUGCCAUCCUACAAUGAGAGAGAUAUAACAUUAGUGGAGCAAACGCUCAAUCAAACACCAAGGGCUUAAUAAAGCAUUAGCUAGCAUGCAUUCGAAAUUUAGACAGUUGGUAUAGCCUCGUCAAGCAGGCAAUCAAUUACAGAAAUUAAAUGAGGACCAGACUUUACAAUUAUAGUACCAUAGGACAAAUCCAUCAAUCCAUGAGGCAAAAUAUGAGUGAAUCCAAAAAGAGGCAGAAAGGAAUACCUAUUUUGAUCCUGAGGAGCUCGUGACCAUGGCCAUUCACCCUGGAUCAGACGCGCUGGGAGCUUGUAGCUUGUCCUGGUCAUACUGCUAUCCUAGGUAACAGGAAAAAUCAAAGCAACAGUUUAGACUUGGUGUUAACGAACAGACACUGUAAAUCAAUAGUAGCAUAUUAAGCACCAAUUUUCUCGGAUGCAAGGAGAAGAGGAGCAAAAUGACACAGAGAGGUGGGACACUUGUUGUACCUGUAGAUGAUGUUCGUCGCCAAGGAAGAUACAUGGGGCCAGCCUUGCAUGUGUGCUUGCUUCAUCGGUGCAUGCAUCACCGUAGUAGCUAAGCAAGUAGGCAUCAUCAACAUCUCCUCACCACUUUCCUGGCAACAGAGAAAGAGCCAAAACAAAAUAUAUUAUACCAUAAUAUGACACCAGAGCGCAGAUCAGUAAUAGUAAAUUACAAAGUAUAUCCACAACACCAUAAAAUAGUCCCAGACCCUG